rnacentral:tRNA from 1 species
GCCUCUUUAGCUCAGUUGGCCAGAGCACGUGAUUUGUAACCACGGGGUCGUUAGUUCGAAUCUAACAAGAGGCUCA